UGCCUGCAAAAUAGUAAAUAUGAAGAUAUAUGAUGCCAUCACCGGAGUAUUUAGAAGUCUUAUUAAGAUCAACGAGUCAAGUCAUUGAGAUAUCAGUAUUUACCAAUUAAAGAAAAUUAACAAAAAAAAGGCAUUGCUAUAAUUAAAACAACCCAACAAAGCUCCUCAGGAUAUCGAAGAUCGAUUAGCGAAAAUUAUGGUAUUAACUUCCUAGAAACUCACGUACCGACUUUUAUUACUGGGCAAUAUAUUUUUACCACCUGAUAAAUGCAUUUCCGAGUGUCCCCAUGGUAAAAGGGUUUUCAGGACAAAAUAACUUUUGUUUCAAAAAAUUUGAAUUUAAGCCACCCUGAUGGGUGUUAAACCUAUGUCCCUAAUUAGGAGAUAGCUCCUCCAGCAUAGUUGAAUUUAGGGAAUCCUAUUAGAUUCAAGACAUACUUAUCUUGAAACAAAAAAAAGUAUGUUUAAAACACUUGCAAUGCAAGGUUGUGGUGCUUAAAAUCAACAAUUCAAAUUUCCAUGCUCCUUGUCUAUAAGUUGAAUAUAUUAGGAUUGGAUGGUAUCGAUGCACGAAAUUAUUGUGAAACCAAGUGAAUUAUUGGGAACCACUGGUAUCGAUGUUCGAAAUGCAAACAUUAAAGAAACAUGGUUGUGGUAAUGAAAACUUGCUUGUGAUAUAUUUGUGUCCUCAUCGUGCACGAAUGAGAUUAUCCACCCAUGGUCUUCAUGUCCUCCAUUGACGCUCGGGACAAAAGUUGCUCCUGAGCAGAAUUGAUUUGCAUUAAGGUGGUGGCAUUCCACAUUUAUGAGAUCUUCUUUCUCUGCCAGCUUAAAAAUUUCGAAAAACAUAAAUUAAGUCAAUAUAUAUAGAUGAAAUGAGUAGAUCAUUAGUUCUGAAAUGGAUUGAACUUAUAUGUCAUAGCUACCUUAGAAUUUUCGCUCACUUCCUCUUCAAGAUAAAGUUUUGCAAAACCUCCAAACUUUGGUCGAACUACAAUAUAUAUUGAAGAUAUCAUUAGAAAACUAUUGCAUACUGUUGUCAUAUAUGAUAUGAUAUAUAACAUUCCAUGUCACUGUUGACCGACAAAUACCUGUUCCACUACCACCAGCCAAGCUGGCCGUGGAAUGCACCAUUUGGGCAUAUGCAUAGCUGUGAUGCAAGCCCGAAAAUUGGUUAUUAAUCACUGGGAAUUCCAAAGCUACAUCUUUCCCGGUUAUGUAUCUUCCUUUCACGGCCCCUGUUUUUAAGUUUAAUCUCCACUCAUACAAGCGAGCGAAGUAUUCCUCAUCCAUUCCUUGAUCAUUAGCAGACGUCAGAUGAGCCUGAUUGAGCCCAACAAGGACAGAAGGCGGCACGCGGAUUCCUCUUACAAUAACCUAAUAAAUCAUGCAUGACAUGCAGACGGAUUAGGGUGCCUUUGAAUAUAUAUAGUAAAUUUUUGAAAUAUAUUGCAACUGUUUGAUACUUUUAGUGUCUAAUACUUGUAGAAUCACGGACUAUUCAGGUCGCAAAAACAGAGCAAUAUAAUGCCCCCUGAUGAGCUUUUUUUUUGUUUCUUUCGCUAACUAGUGAUAUUUAUUAUAACAAUAUCAUUGGGAUCAUUAUGUACAUCAUGGCUGUAUGUGUCUGGAUAUAUAUAAAAAAUGUCUACCUCAUCAUCUUCCUCAUGGCAGUUGACAAGAUGGAAUGUACAGAAUGGUUCUACAUUAAACCAUAAUACUGAGUUUGCAUCUCCAUAACGGGGCAUGACACCAAUUCUUGCAUAGCUUUCUUUGUCAUAGUCAAUCAACCUACAUGAGGGCAUAUAUGAACAAUUUGGGAAACUGAGAUAAGUGUUAAAACAAUACUAGGUUCAUCGAGAAGACUUACGGGGCACCUCUUAGCAUCCUACUUGGGUUGAAGGUAAGUGGCGAAUCCAUGAUAAUAUUGUACCUAGAGUCAAAAAAAGAAAUCAAAUUAACUCCACUGAGUAUUUUUAUUGCCUUCAUUCUUUUUUCUGAAAUGGCAAUGUACUAUGCUACAUUUGUUUUUUACUUCACGUAUGUUUAUAGGUAAUUUAUUCAAACUGUGGUCAAAAAGCCAAUUUAACCCAAAAAUGUUGUAAAGUUUACAUUAUAUUUUAAAAUAAUUAGUAUCAACUUAAUUAUUUUAUUACCAUAUAUAGUUUUAUUCCAGAUUAUUCAGUUAUUUUAAGGACUUUAUUGUGAUAUUAAAGUAAAUACAUAUAUAAAAAUAAAAGCAAACUUCCGCAUCAAAAUAAAUAAAUUAACCACUGCACAUCAACAGAGCAGUAGAGCUAGCACAACUGGUAGUAGUAGCCAAGAACUUACAAUGUAGUAACUCCUAUUUCAUGACAAAAUGUGCAUCGAUCUAGCUUGAGGUCAACCUUGUGUGUUAGGUUCUUUCCAUCCGCUGCAGUAAAACUUAAAAGUCAGCAAUCUAUUUUUUCUGCAAGUAAAUACUAUAAAAAUAUUCAAAAACUUCCGGUCUUUGCAUUGAUCGAUGCACACAGCCUUAUUAAAUACGGACGGUAUAACAGGAGAUGGUUAGAUGGAAAUUAGGAUCUAGAAGACCUGAGACAACUCCGACCAUUAGGAAAGGCUUCGUCAAAUUGAACCCACAAAUAACAAGCUCUCCUGACCCAGUCACCGCCAAAGUCAUGCCUGCCCACGGUGUCCAGGUUUCGGAGAUCAAUCUCUUGGGGGACGUUAUUCUCGGCGAUCGUAUAUACUUUCCCGGAGUGCUCGAACACGCUCGUGUUGCUGUAGUUCUGGAACGGUUUGCCGAGCCUCAGCUGCAUGCGCCGACAUGCAUGAUAUAUACAUGUUUCAGCUAUCUCGAGAUUGAUUAUCAGCGGAAAACAUAUCUGACACAGUAAUAAGUACAGUAUUACACUGGUAAUUACAAUUACUUACCAUGUUUAGAGCAUAGCCGGCGAGCAUAGCAGUGGGUUCUCCGGUGGCGACCGGGAGGGCGAAUGGUCUCUGUCGUCGUUUCCCAAGCUUGAAUGUAUCAGAUUGCACGUAGCGCUUGGCGUAGUGGACGGACCACGUGCUUGUGCUGCUCUUGCUGAAGUAGACGGCGUGGACCAUGCCUUCUCCUUCCACCCAGACGUUCUCCGACCGCCCAAACACGGAGUCCACGUUGUGGAGGGCUCCAAAUUGAGGGUUCGACCCUGCAUCGCCAAGUUCAAAAUGGAUCCAAGUAGCGCUUUGUGUCAUCGUGUAGGUAAACAACAAACGAGCCCGGAGGAACUGAGGAAGCUGACUCACCAUUUCUUAUGUAAACACCAUCUGGAAAAUCUGCUGGUAUCUCUCCUUCGAUGUCCGCUAUCGCUGUCAGUUCACCGAUCUCAUCGACCGGCGCAAAAUUGCUCUGCAUGCAUACAGACAGGCAUGAUUAGAAAAAUUGUACUCUCUCCGUUUUAUAAUUCUUGUCGAAAUAUUACAUGUAUGUAUACGCUUUUUAGGAAUAGAUACAUGUAUAUUCGGGCAAAUUUGAGACAAAAAUUAUGAAACGGAGAGAGUACUAAUGAAUAGCAAAGAAAGAAAGAAAGAAAAUAUCAAUCAAACUGUCUGCCUAUUUGUAUGAGUGUUAUGGCUGCCUAUUAACUUGUGCUCGCAGGUAGUUUAUCGGUUUUGUUAUUUCUAAAACGACCGAGAAAUGACCGUUUCUAAGUCGAUUCUUUAACAACCGUUUGGAAAAAUGAUGAAAAACUUUUAGUUGCAUGGCUAUUAUUGUCGACUGAGAAAUAACUAUUUCCAACUCAACUGAGAAAUAGACACUCCCGUAGUUUAUUACUUAAUUAUUGGCAACCACGCAUGCUUUUAAUACUAACGCAUGCAACAAUUUUUUAACAUAUUUACUAUGUUACGGUGGACUGUUUUUCAACGAGACUGUUUUGACUUUUGAAAGAACCAUAUUUUAUAGGUUACUGAUUUAUACAUAUAAAACAUAGAACUUAGAGUAUUUAUAUUUUAUUUUUGAACGAAGUAUUUUUCUUGUAUUUUCGUUUGCCCCUAGCAUAACUUUCUAAAUUAUUUUGACAUUACUUAUUUGAUUUUGAAAAUAUUAGUUACGACCGGUGGUGAUGAAGUUUAACGGUUCUUUUUUUUUGCGAGGAUGAAGUUAACCGAUGGCGCUCAACCGGGUCGGCUACAUGUGGGGCUCAACCGGACCCGGACCCGUCCACGGACCCACGACCAAGAGCUGGACCCGUGGUCGGAUAUAGAUUUUUACCAUAACCGUGACCCGGUCGUGUAUGGAAGACCCGUGGUUAUUUUUACCCGUCUCGCUACAACCUCAAAAAACACCAAAUUUCCCAAUUGUCCAGUGGGCCGUCUGGUUUUUUUUGGGAAACCUAUGCUUUCUCUAUGCAUAUGACAAUAUGGCACCACACAUCAUAUGCAGGUUUUUCAUUACCAGACCCGGACCCACGACAGGACCGGUCAAAAAAAUCCCAUUUGCAGUCCCGUGGAUAUUUUUUUACCAAACUUGAAUGCUAAUUGGAUGAAGAACCAUCGGGUUUACAGGUCGCGGGUGUUUAACUGCUGGCCAAUAAUCGGAAAACAAAAUUCUCAAAGUAGAUGUUAGCUGUACCCAAUGGCAGGCUGCCCAAUGGAAAGAUGCAACAGUUACCGUUUCACUGUGCACAUAUUCCGGUCUCUAUAGGCGCUAUUCCUACGCGAAACGAGGCCUCUCACGUAUAGUUCCAUGUUAGGCAAGGCUUACCUCCGUGGGUCCUGGGUCGCAAAGGCUGAUUACUGAAUGUGAAGGUGGAAUCUACCAAUGCAUCCAGCAGUCCUUCGGAUGCCUCCGACAGCUUGGAAGUAAGCUCUUGUUGAAGCUCCUUCAAAUAUUGCUGAAACGCAAGUAAUAAAGAAUAAAAAUAGCAUCAUUAAUAAUUUUUCCGUCUCAUAAUUCUUGUUGUGGUUUAGUUUAAAUUGUAAUUAAAAGCACGACAAAGUUUUAGACGCGGGGGCAGCGAGAUUAAGACAGAGAGGGAUCGAGAGGAGUGCGUACGAUGGAUGCUAUCGGAGAAGAGGAACGAGUAGCACUAGGACGGGUGUUGGCAGGCCUCGUUUUGGGGAAGCUCAUGCGUGGCCCGAGACAGGAGACAGGCAUGUAUGCCAGUACCACCAUUUUGUGCUACAAUAGCUUCGGGCAGAUUCAACUUCGACUGGUUAUACUUUUCUGGAGUGCUAGUCUCUGUUGCAGAGGCAGAACCUUUGAUGAGUCUGGUUUUAUACACCGCUGCAGUCACCCGCCGAGGCAACGGACCGACAGCUGGAGGCUGGAGCAGUGGACCAGUGGAGCUGCCCCCAGAAAAGGGUGUGGGCACACAUCUCCUGAUCGUGCUCAGCUACCUCAUGUUCGCCCACACAUUUCCUGAUUUUUCUUUUUGAGAGAAAAGUCCAUGCUCAGCUACCUCAUCUACUUUGGGACCCACUCGUCAGAACUGAUAUGAAAUCUGAAACAAAUAUUUGGUGGCCGUCCGUUCAUCAUGUAUAUCAAAAAUACUGCAUACUCCUUUCCUUUCAGAUUUUGUGAACAGAGGAACUUCUUAGGCAAUUAUCUGAUUCACACCCAUUCGAUCUGUUAUGUGUAUCCUGAUAUUUUGAUUAUAGUUGAUUUGUUUGACAUAUACUUCUGGGAUAAUUGUUUUCUCGAAUAAAUAUUUUUUGAGAAUUUUUUUAGCAUAAAAUAAAAAAUAUGAGCACAUAAAUAUUUUAAAAAUUUAAGCAUGUCAUAUGUAUUUUUUUAAUUCCUGUAGCAACUCACGUGACUUUAGCAAGUAAAGACUAAAUCACAAAAUAGCCAUUGGGAUGAAAUUUCAUCAUCUUCUUCCCUGUGAUUUCAUCCCAAUGCGACGUCACCGGCACGGGUAGACCCCAUAGUCGGAAGGCUGCCGCCGAGGCACGCAAGCGCCACCACCUCGAUUUUGCCAAGUCCCGUGCCUCCGUGUAGAGCAACGUAGCAUGUCUGUUCUCUAACCAACCACGAUGGAGCCAUGCGCACGCCUGUAUAGCACGUCCAGCGCCUGAUCUCGUUUCUGUUGUAAUCGGCUCUCGUUGUACUCUGUAUAAAUAUGAGAUCAAUACAAGUGGAGCACCUAAGGUGCAUUCCCAAAACUCCCCACUGUUGUACAUGGUAUCAGAUUCCUCACGAUCCAACACCUCGUGAGCCCAACUUCCACUGCCGUCCGGCCGUCCCUCUCGGCUCUCUCUGACAUGCUCGCGACGCACACCGAUGCCUCCCCAUCCCUGCGCCUUCCCCAUGUCGCUCCGCCAGAGCAGCCCGCGCACCCUGUGCCCCCCCCCCCCCCCCAGCCGGCACACCCUGCGCCCGCCCAACCGGCGCACCUUGUGCCGCCGGCGGCCCCCGCGUCGCCUCUCCGUGAGAACAUCAACCACACAAUCAUCAAGCAGCAUGUCCCGGUGGUUCUCAGUCUUCAGGAGGACAACUACGACCUGUGGCGCAUCCUCUUCUGCAAGGUGUUCGGCAAGUUCUCCGUCACGGACCACAUCGUCGUCACUGCCGAUCCUCUACAUCACCCCGUUCCGAAAUGGAUCCAGGACGACUUCACCAUUGUCUCCUGGCUCUACACGACCGUGUCCUCCGACGUCCUCUCCCUCAUCAUCACGCCCCAGGACUCGGCGCACGCGGUGUGGCUCAAGAUCGAGGAGCUCUUCCUGGACAACCGGACGACGCGCGUGGUCUACCUCGACGCCGAGUUCCACAACCUGCAGCAGGGCAACAUGAAUGUCAUCAAGUACUGCACUCGUCUCAAGACCCUGGUGGACAGCCUUCGCAACCUCGGCAAGCCGGUCAGCGACGGGGAGCUCGUCCACAGCACUCUUCGCGGUCUCCACCGCGAUUUGCAACAUCUACUCCCCCCUCAGCCGUGCCAGACCACAACCCCUCUCCAAGCCACACUGCGGCCUGCCCACCUCCUGCCGCGGCAGCCCUUGAUCCACUCCUUGGCAUGCGUACUCGUGCGCAGUCUGGGAUCUCCAAGCCCAAUCCUCGCUACUUCUCCUCCGAAUACUCUAACUUAGCCACCACUAUAUCUCCUAUUCCCAAGUCCGUGCGCUCGGCUCUACGCGAUUCCCAUUGGCUAACAGCUAUGCAGGAGGAGUACAGGGCGUGGAUGGCAAACCAGACGUGGACGCUCGUGCCGCGCCCACCCGAUGCUAAUGUAGUCACUGGGAAGUGGGUGUUUCGGCAUAAACUGAAGCCUGACGGACAGCUUGAGCGCUACAAGGCAAGAUGGGUUGUGCAUGGCUUCUCCCAGUGCCCCGGUAUCGACUUCGACGAGAAGUUCAGCCCCAUCGUCAAGAGCGCCACCAUUCGCACCAUCCUCACUCUAGCCGCGACGCACCAGUGGCCGGUUCAUCAGAUGGACGUCAACAACGCUUUCCUCCACGGCUUCCUCCAAGAGAAGGUGUACUGCCAGCAACCCACCGGCUUCGUCGAUCCGGCGCGCGCCUCCGACGUCUGUCUGCUGUCCAAGUCCUUGUAUGGGCUGAAGCAGGUGCCGCGCGCCUGGUACGACCGUUUUGCCUCGUACAUCCGGUCGAUCGGCUUCCUCUCCACUCGGUCGGACACCUCUCUGUUCGUCCUGCGACGCGGCACCGACAUGGCCUACUUGCUGCUCUACGUCGACGACAUCGUGCUCCGAUAGAUCACCGAUCAACUGCAGUCCGAGUUCUCGAUGAAAGAUCUCGGGCCGCUUCGGUUCUUCGACGUCACGCGCACGCCUGCUCGCUUCUUCUUGUCCCAAGGCAACUACGCGGAGGAUCUGCUAGACCGUGCAAGCCGUGUCCACGCCCGUGGACACCCGUGCCAAGCUCUCCAUCGACGCUGGCGAUCCUGUCAGCGACGCCUCUGAGUACCGGAGCAUCGUUGGUGCGCUCCAGUACCUGACGAUGACGCGGCCGGACAUCACGUAUGCUGUGCAGCAGGCCUGCUUGCACAUGCACGCGGCCAAGACCGAUCAUCUCGCCUUCGUCAAGCGCAUCCUUCGGUACAUCUGUGGGACCUCCGGCUACGGGAUUCAGCUCCGGCCUGCGUCCACGCUUGAUCUCGUCGCCUACUCGGACGUUGAUUGGGCUGGCUGUCCAGACACACGGCGAUCGACAUCUGGCUACGCCGUCUUCCUCGGCGACGCGCUCGUCUCGUGGUCAUCCAAGCGGCAGCCGGCUGUCUCUCGCUCCAGUGCUGAGGCGGAGUACCGCGGCGUCGCCAACGUCGUUGCGGAGUGCUGCUGGCUCCAGCAGCUUCUCUCCGAGCUGCACGUGCCGUUGCCGAAGGCCAUCAUCGUCUAUUGCGACAACAUCUCCGCCGUCUACAUGUCUGCUAACCCCGUCCAUCAUCGGCGCACCAAGCACAUCGAGCUCGACAUCCACUUCAUGCGCGAGAAGGUUGCUCUCGGCCAGUUGCGUGUCCUGCAUGUCCCUACAUCGCAGCAAUUCGCCGACAUCAUGACCAAGGGGGCUCCCAUCCUCCACAUUUGGCGAUUUUCAUUCCAGCUUGUGCGUCCGGGCUCCGGACGAUCAACCUGCGGCGGGGUGUAGAACAACGUAGCAUGCAUGUUCUCUAACGAACCACGAUGGAGUCAUGCGCACGCCUGUAUAGCACGUCCAGCGCCUGAUCUUGUUUCUGUUGUAACCGGCUCUCGUUGUACUCUAUAUAAAUAUGAGAUCAGUACAUGUGGAGCACCUAAGGUGCAUUCCCAAAACUCCCCACUGUUCUACACUCCGGUGCCCCGACGCACCUACGCCCGUCAAAAUCACCGAAAUGGUUUCUAGCCAUCGAGCCGGAGGGUGACUGCCUCGAUACGCUUGGCGCCAACCGCCACCGUCUGGUAUCAAGCGCCCAAGGGAGAUGUUGGUGAGGCUGACCUUCGUACUCCGGUCGUACAUCCAAAAUAAUAUACGAGCUCAAAAAUAUUUUACAGAAAAAACAUGUAGGUAGAUAUACUGCCUCGGUUUCUAAACAUAAGAUGUUCUAUUUUUGUUCUAAAUCAAACUUCUUAAAGUUUGACCAAAUUUAUAGAGAAUCAUACCAAUAUUUACUGUAAUAAAUAAAUAUCUUAUGAAGAUAGUAUAUCAUUACAUAUCUUAUAAAACAAAUUUGGAGUUGUAGAUGUUGGUUUUUCUAUAAACUUAGUCAAACUUGAUUUAUUUUUUUGUAUUGGGACAAAGUUAAAACAUAUUAUAUUUAGGAACGGACGAAGUAGUUUGUAAGCUGAUAAUCAACUGUAAGCGCUGAUAAUCAACUGUGAAUAGGUACAAUAAGUCGUCACGAAAAACACAAUAGAAAAUGAUUCAUAAAUCUGGUGUGCCGCUAUAGAGUUAAAGCAUUUUGAAUUUUCAGAUUUGGAAAAGAAAAACUGAUCUCAUUUUUUUUUCUUAUGUGCAUGCAUACGAUAUUGGGGUACUAUAAUAUUUAUCCAAUACCCACAUUUUUGGGUGCUAUAAUUUUUACCCAAUGCUCACAUGAAAUGUGCGCCAGGAAGGGGGGAACGGUCCAUCGGUACCUAACGCUGACAGCUUGUUUGGCAUUCAUCUUUUGGGCCUAGAAUUCUGAAAUUCAUUUUGAAUUUCAGAAACCAACUUGUUUGGUUGGCAGGGGAAUUGGUUACAAGAAUUCAAUCUCAACUAUAAGUAAUUUCAAUUUCUCUCCGAAAGCCAUCAUUUAUUUGGGAUUGUCUAUUACUCUACAAAUUCAUGUGUGGACAAACGUGAUUUUUAAAUCAAAAAUUCAAAUUCAACCAAAUAAAAUCCUAUGAAAAUUUGGAUUUCAUUUCAUUUCUACCAAAUGAAAUGAAAGGAUGGAUACCAAAUAAGCCGUAAGUACCAUGCAUGAGGCCGACAAAUAGUUUUCCCCUUUGACAAAAAAUCACACUCAAUUAUUUGGCUAGCGAUGAAAAUUGAUAGGGCUUGAAUAGGCGAGAAGCAAACAUGCUCUUAAUGUUCUCCCGCACGUGGGAUAAUAGCACGACCCAUCAGUAAGAUUCGUCUUAUCUGUACGUCUCGAUUGAUAAGCAGUGCUCGUGCUGCCCUCUACUGCUCGUGUUGCCAUCUAUCAUGAUCGUUGCCUCUCUCAAGUCACACUCAACCUGGCACCCAUUGUGUCUUUCAUGCGUAAUUUUGCUAACAGACGCAUUCAACAUAAUUGACAUUUUUGUCUUUGCAGGAAGAGCUAGCUGUACAUGGGUGAUUUACUCCUAGCCGUGUUGUACAUGCUGAUCGGAGGUGGAAUUGCGAGCGCCUCGGUUACUUGCCAAUCUCACUUGCCUGCUCACCUGUGCAUGCUAAGGUGCGUCGACCUAAUUCAGAGGUAUGAAAUCCAAGCUGGCAGCCCAUUCUUCGUGGGCGUCAACGUGAUGCUCACCCUGCUAUCACAGCAACAAAGUGAUAUGGUUACAUAGGGUAUUGCCAAAUACUCCAGUACUUAGUUCUUUGGGAAAAUUAAAGUACAAACUGACAUGGGAGGAUUGAUCCCUAUAUAACAAAUAAAAGGGAGGAACAUGUACCUUCAGGUACCUAAGACAAGAUGAGACUGCGCCCCAACCUGAAAAGAAAAACAGCUACUCACUCCAGUCGGAAUUACUUGUUGAAAUAUUACGUGUAUCUAGACGGUUUUUUACACAUAGAUACGUCCGUAUUUGGGCAAAUUUGAGACAAGUAAUUCCGAUCGGAGGGAGCAGCAUAUUUUUUUUCCUUAUGAUCGGUUCCAUUAUACGAGAUAACGGACCGACAGAAGUUCACACACCCACAAUAGUUUGCGCACACUUGCCGCCCUCAGGCUAACAAGAACUCAUGCCAAGUCUUAGUGCAGAAAAAUAAAGAACUGGAAAGGAAAUAACGACUUAUUACAAUCUCGCAUGCUCGUUGAGCCACCUUGUCAGUUCACCAAAACACUCCCACCACAGCUUUUCACCCGUCUCCUUAAGAACCAGCCUAGUCGUCAGGGACUUUGUCUUGAAUGCAUUUCCUGUCCAGCGCCGCCUGCGCAGGGUGGUGCCUCAUCGCCUCUUCCUGAAGACCUCGAGCGCCAUCACGCAAGAUAUCCCCAUCAGCUCCAGAUUGUAAACCUGCAAACAAGUUCAGCUGGAGAUCUUAUUAGUUUAUGUUCAAAACAGGCUCUGUUUCUUAAUUUCCAGAUAGCCCAACAUAUGGCAGCCACCCCCACAAUCUGAAUGUUUGGGACAAAGAAUUCAUACCUGCCAAUCUUGAUCCAUGCACCAUAUCAAUGAUUUAAGAGUCGGAAAAACUUUGUGUACCGAGCCAUACACUAGUCACGCGACAAAUCACAUAUGGUCAUGAGUCAUGACUAAUCGAGGUUUCCAGGUGAGAACCUGUCAGCCAGCCAGAUGUCGAUCACUAGCAGCCCAUCAGAGUUCGAUCCUCGAAUGUCGCACUUUGGUGUCUCACUUUUAUAAAAGUUAUAUAUCUAUAUACUGUCGGACUGCAAUCGCGCAGAUCUUACAGUUUAAAGUCAAGAAAAAUCGAGGUUUCAGGUUGAAGCCAUGUAUGGACCCGCAGACUGGUGCAGAUCUUUCUCAGAAAUGUCUAUUUGAAGUGUAGGGUGGUUGGGAUGCAUGCUGGCUGCUCUCUCCAUGUCUUUUUUGGCGGCCUCAACGACCUCAUCAGUGCUCUCGCCAGAGCCAUGAAUUGUACAACAAAGAGCCCUGAGGCAGGGGAGGUUUUCGAUUCCAAAAUAAAAAGCACCACUAGUCUGAGACUCUCUUCUAGCUGCGUUGAAACAAAUGUAGAGAAAUUCUAGCUUCGGCAUGGAUCCUUCUACAAACCUGAGCUCCACCCCAUGCUCAUCUGCACCCAUGCAAAAACCACUUAAGCAUGGGAAUCCAUCGGUACCACUUACUGUAAGCUUUCCUGCAGACUCUGCUUCUCCUUUUACAACCAGAAGUAAAAAGAACAAAGUGGGUAAGCCUCCAAGGGUGCAGAGAUCUUCCUGCCUGACUUCCUCGACAACAAGGCAUAAGUGUUGGAGGUUGACGAGUGAUCCUAUCCAAUCAGGAACCUGUAAAAUGGCACAGAAAUUACAAGUUUUCGGAGGCUACGUGUAGCAGGGCACCACUGCUCCAGUAAGAAGUUGCCAUCAAAUGAGCCAUCAUCAUCUGUUUCCCCAGUACCAAUUUUUAGAGAAUCAAGGCUGCGUGUGCUUAGUUCAUAGAUAGAGGAGGCAAUAGCUUUCAAAUGCUUCUUCUUAACUUCUGUUGGAUCACAUACUAGUCGUAGCUUCCUCAGAUUCUUUAGCUGGCCAAGUUCUUGAAGAAAGUUAGAUGACUGCAAGCAGAUGCCGACCCGUUUCAAUGUCUGCAGAGCUUGCAUCUUGGCAAUUCCAUCUGGAUAUUUAACAUUACUGUCAAUAAACAGAUAGACCAAAUUUCCAAGUCUAACAAUUGCAGCUGGUAAUUCACGCACAUUGGUGUCUCUUAUGUCCAACAUCUGCAAGCACUGUAGAUGUCCGAUUUGUUCUGAGAGAUCAUUUACAUUUGUAUUUCCAAUGUUCAGGUACUUCAACUGAAACAACCUCCCUAUAUUUGCAAAAUAAUUACUUUUCAAUCGGUGGAUACCUUGAAAGUCCAGAACUCUCAAAUACCUGAAUUUCUCUAGGGAUGGGACUACCGCUAAAUGCCCAAACACAUUAAGUGAUCGGACUUGAGACAAUACAAGGUUUGUAGGUAGGCUAGAACUUCCUUUCUUGCAUCCUUGAAGAGAGAGUCGACGAACUUUUCUUUGUGUUCCAAUAGUUAGACUGGGCACACCAAUUAAAGUAACAAAGUUCUCUUCGAUAGGCUUCGAUAUCAUGAAAUCAAGAAUUGUAUCAUGAAUACAACAACUCUUCACCUCUUCACUGUUGAAGCUUAAUCUGCCAGGUUGGAUCAAACUCCUAUUGAUGAGCUCAUUGAAACUCAUCUCACCCAACUCAUGUAUUGUAUAUCCAACUUCCUCACGAAUGAAUCCCUCAGCAAUCCAUCUGUUUAUGAGGUGUUGUUUCUCAAUAGUACAGUCUUCUGGAAAUAUACUCAGGUACAACAGACAUGUUUUAAGAUGUGGAGGAAGGUCAAAGUAACUAAGUGAUAAUAUCUUUAUCAUUCCUUCGGUGCUAGGAUUUCUCUCAAGUGCACAACCAAUUGAAUUUUUGACUUGAUUCCACCGAUCCUUUGUGCUUGGUUUGUUGGCCAACAAACCAGAUAUAGAAAUAAUUGCCAAAGGCAAGCCAGCACAUCUUUCCAAGAUUUGACAAGAUACAUCUUCAAGGUAUGAAGGGCAUUUUUCUUCGGAGUUGAAUAGUCUUUUGUGAAAUAACUGUCUUGAGUGAACCAUAUUAAGAGGCCUUAUAUAAUAAAUAUGGUCACCAAAAGAUGGACAACAUGACCGAGCUACAUCAUUUAUUCGAGAGGUGGUGAUUAUUCUACUUCCACAACUGGUAUUGGGGAAUGCACACUUAACAAUAUCCCAUUUUUCCACAUGCCAUAUAUCAUCAACUACAAUAAAGUACCUGCAAAUGAUUUAUCAGUGACAUUAGGUGUGACUUUAAUAUUUCCUGCAAAAUCAUACGGCAAGGAAAGAAGAUAUUUUUUCUUGCUGACAACAAACGAUAAAUAAGAAAGCUGAUGCUUUUGUUUACAUGAUGCUGUUUUUGAACCCAGUUCCUGCAAGUGAUUUCAGACUUAAUUGUGGUUGCACAUUUAUUUUCGGGAUUUAUCUUCUAUUAUCUAAAAACUUGUUGGUCUGUUUUGGCACAAGAUUGAGAUAAAUAAUAUUAUCUAACAAUUAAAUGAGGAUCAAUGGAUGUUCUGGUCAUCCAAACAUCCCGUAAACAGAAGUAACAUCUGUUAUUUGUACCAAACACUGCUGCACAAGAAAGAACAGAUCAUUGAGAAACAUUUCACCCAGCCAGUAUCAAGGGUCACGCCGAAGUUAGCAAGGCGUGUAUAUCUAACUUAAAGAAGAGUACCUGGCUGCCUAAACAAGUCUCGCCCUUCCCAAAGACUUGUACUACUCCCUCUGUCCAACAAAAGAUGUCUCAAGUUUGUUAAAAUUUGGAUGUACUAGGCAUGAUUUAGUGUAUAGAUGCAUUCAAAUUUAGUCAAAGUUGAGACAUCCUUUGUUGGACGGAGGAAGUAUGUGAUUUUUUUUGACUCAAAACUGUAGGAAAGAUUCCGACAGUAUAAAUAUAUAAAACCAAAACCAGAAUAUUUACAAAGAGAGGAGGGGGGGGGGGGGGGGGGGACAAAGGAAGACGGCCAUUAAGGCACGGAGGAAACAGAAACAAGCCAGUCUAGCAAGGCCGUUCUCGCGCUGGGCGAUAAACGAACACUCUGACGAGUAAGCUCUAGUUUAAACCCCUGGAACCAAGCUAAUCUAGAGGGGGUAGUCUGGUUGAAGAUGCAGCCGUUCCUCUGUCUCCAAAUGUUCCAAGACUUGUACUAUGUGAUUACUGAUUACCCUACAGAAGUUCUCUUGCAAUUCUCUUGUAAUUCUCGUUUUGUACACAACAGAGGUUCUUAAAUGGACAUCUGACCAUUAUUUUUCUAAUCACAUAUUAUAAAUUUCUUUGUAUAAUACAACUACAGAUAGUUACUUUUAAUUACUACAUUACUAGUAUAAGUUUGAUGUGACAAAUCUAAAUACGUUUUCUACACAAAGAAGACGAUGAGUGAGAUUUAACAGAUUCAGUACCUUUUGUCUUUGAGGAAAUCAGAGAUCUUGAUGAUGAGUUGUUGUGCAUCUGCUGCUUCUGUGCUAGCAUAAGCUUUCUCACUCACUUCACUGAGAAUAGUUCUCAGGAUUUUCAUCAUGUCUGGGUUUCGUGGGUUUCGUGACAACGAUAUAAAAGCCUGACAGUCAUAUUGCCCUUUGAGCUCUUGGUAUACUUGGUAUGCAAGAGUCGUCUUACCAAGUCCACCAAAACCAACAAUAGAGACUAUCUUCAGAUGCUGUUGUGUUGAUUGACAUCCGACUUCCUCAGUCAACAAUUUGAUAACCUCACGUUUUGGUUCAUCAAUGCCGACGAGCUUUGACGCGUCCGCAAAGAUAGCAAGAGCUCUAGGGUCAACCAUCGCAUUGCUUGUCUUGGAGACAGCCUCGCCAAUCUUGUACCUCGUAUGCCUCUCGCCCACCAUAAUCACUUCUUUCUUCAAAUCUUGGAUCGCCUUGGCGAUACUACCACGACUCUUAGUCUUUUCUAACAAGCUCUUAAUCUUCUGAAUAAAGCCAUCUGGCAGGGCGUCUUUGGCGUCAACAUUUAGCAUGAACUCAUCGAGGUUGUCCUCAAUGUCGUAGGACAGCUCCCGCACCUCAUUCAUCCAUGCCUGAUCUUGCACAUCAGGACCCUCGACCUCCGACAUUUUCAAGAGAAAAGCAUGCAUGGCCGUGAGUUCAUCGGUGAGGAACUUCAUCUCACCGUGCACUCCCUUGAAACGCUUGUACUUGUCGCCCAGCACAACGGCCAGCUUCCCCAGGACGGGUCUCAAGGCCCCGGUGGCCACACUAACAAGGAAAGCUUCCAUUUUCGCACGAUCUGAGAUCGCUCAGUCAACUCUGUGUGCACGAAAGACGGAUUAUUUAGUUCUUGCUGGUUGAGCAAAAUGGUAGGAAUGGACAAAGUAGGCAUAGAACCUGCAGUACCAGACUACCAGGACGUCCUAGCCGCCUAGGCUGAUAGGCAGCUCGCAGAUCUGAUAGCCCGGGCCGCUCCCUCUCGGUGAACUGAAACCUCUGUCUCGACAGGCAGCAGUCGGUGACCGAGGAAACACCGUGGAGGCUGCAAACAAACAGAUCGGUGUCACCGGACGCUGAUGCGCUGUACAUCCAUGUGUUCCUGAAGUUAACCAGAUCAAAGAGGAGGGUGAUGCAUCCGACAUUUACCUCAGCUGGAUCGGAGGCUGACGCCGCUAGGUCAAAUCCGCUCGCGGGAGAGGAGAGGAGCAACGGGAGGAACGAAGCAGACUGACAGAGCACGGACAAGGAGAAGGAGACUGCCGCAGGUCAGCUUGGCUCCUGCCGUACUCCUUCCCGAGCCGAGCGCUUCCGUUGGAGGCGAGCGACCGCCCAGAUUUGCGCACCCAGCUUUCCUUGGUGAUUGGAGAUUGCUUGUUCCUGACUUCUAUUGACUUGGGGUCUCCGCAGUCGUCCCAGAGUUGGUGUUUCUCCCCUUUGUACUUUCAGCUUUUGAACGAUUUCCAGGAAGGUUCCAUUUGGACGAAUUGGAUAUCCACUCAUACCCACUGAGGUCUCCAGUCCAGCCCCUUGUCUCCAAUCUGAACGCCGGCGACAACCGCGACACCAGAUCGGGAUCGAAUCCAAGACGGCCGGCGUCACCCGGGGAUUUGUGCCCGUCAUCGGCGUACGAUUUCUGGUGCUUUUGCUCUGUAUCCCCAACCAUUUUCCUGCCCCAACACUCAUAACAUGGCGGGUGGUGGUGCCAUGGUGAGCGCCGCCACGGGGGCCCUGGGAUCCGUCCUGGAGAAGCUGGCCGCCAUGCUGGGCGGCGCGUGCGUCCGUCUCAUGGGCGUGCGCGGCGAGGUGCUGUUUCUCAGAGCAGAGCUGGAGCACAUGAGCGCGUUCCUCGUAAAGCUGUCCCGGGUGGAGGACCCCGACGAGCAGGCCCAGUGCUGGAUGGCCGAGGUGCGCGAGCUCUCCUACGACAUCGAGGACACCGUCGACGAGUUCACGCUCUGCCUGGACGACGAUGACAGAUCCGCCCAUCCGCUGCCUGGAUUCAGGGGCUUCAUAGACAGGAGCAUCAACCUGUUGACCAAGAUCAAGACUCGCCGUCGGGUAGCCAUGGAGAUCCAGGGUCUCAAGGACCGUGUCAAGGAGGUCGGCGAGCGACGAGAGCAUCUGCGCGCAGGCUAACGAUGUGGCCAUGGACCCUCGAGUCUGCUCCCUCUACAACGAUGUGUCUCAGCUUGUUGGCAUUGAUGGACCAAAGAAGGAACUCAUCAAAUUGUUGGAGGAGGGGGAUGGCGCAUCCGCGCAGCAGUUGAAGGUGGUAUCUAUCGUCGGAUUUGGUGGGAUGGGGAAGACAACUCUUGCCAACCAAAUCUAUCACACGUUUGGAAAGAAAUUCAAGUACCGGGCUUUUAUGUCAGUCUCGAGACAUCCUGAUAUCAUGAAGGUCUUGAGAGGUAUUCUUAGCCAACUGAGCAACCAAGGAUAUUCUAGCACUGAAGCUGGGGAUGAACGUCAACUCAUUAGCAACAUUUUAAGCUUCCUUGCAGACAAAAGGUGUUAUGUCGUAAUCACCCCCCUAUGACUGUAUUGAUUCAUCAAUAUAAGCAUUGGUGAUAUCUAAGUAAAGUGGGGCAAAUGAUCAAAUUUCCAGUUCUCAGAUGACCAACAUGGAACCUUCCUUAUGGUCGGUGCGAACUGUGAACUGCGAUAAUUUUGUAACAUUGUACAAACUUGCGCAGCAUAAUAAUUAAAUUCCUGAUGAUAAAGCUCACUGCAUAAUCUAAAAUUAGGUUUAAAUUAUGUAUGAAAUCGUUUUUAAGAAUAGACUUUUUGCAAAAUAUAGUAACUAGAGUAUCUCUUUGUCUAUUGUUAGCUCCCUCUCUGUUUUUGACAUUGUAUUUCUACACAACAACAAAUGCUGCUUAAAUUUUGUCUUUCGAUAAGGAGGUAAUGUACUACAUAGUAUCCCACCCUUUUUUUUAGCCCUAGCUUGUUAGGCAUCAGUACUUACCAUGAUCGAUGUUUUGUCUGUUUUGGUUAGUUGCGCUUUAGAGAAGUUAAAGCCUAAUACUAACUUUGAAACAAAUUCAUGUGGCAGGUACUUCAUUGUAAUCGAUGAUGUAUGGAGUGUAGAAGCUUGGGAAAUUAUUAGAUGUGCAAUUCUGGAAAACAAUUUUGGUAGUAGAAUAAUAAUAACAACACGCAUCAACGGAGUCGCCAAAACAUGCUCCUCUCCACUAGCAAAUCAUGUUUAUGAACUAAGGCCUCUUAGUGUUGUGCACUCAAAAGGGUUAUUCCUCAAGAGAAUAUUCAAUUCAGAAAAACAAUGUCCCCCACACCUCAGCAGAACUGCUGAUGAUAUAUUGAGAAAAUGUGGCGGUUUGCCGCUGGCUAUCAUCCCCUUUUCCGGCUUAUUGGCCAAUAAAGCUCAGACUGUGGACCAAUGGGACGAAGUGCAAAAUUCGAUCGGUUAUGCACUUCAAAGAUAUCCAAGUGUUGAAAGAAUGAUGAAGAUACUAUCUCUUAGUUACUUUGACCUUGACCACGAUCCGAAAACUUGUCUAUUGUAUCUAAGUUUAUUUCCAGAGGAUUAUCCUAUUAAGAAGAGCCGUUUGAUAAGGAGAUGGAUCGCGGAGGGAUUUAUACAAGGAAAGAGUGGGUAUACCAUGUAUGAACUUGGGGAAAGGUGCUUUAAUGAGCUCAUCAACAGGAGCUUGAUCCAGCCAUGGGGUAUAAAUCUGUGGGGAGAGGUGACAAGCUGCCGAGUUCAUGACACUGUUCUUGAGUUCAUUUUGUACAAGUCUACUGAAGAGAACUUUGUGACCAUACUUGGUAUUCCAAAUCUUACUAUUAAGCCACAGAGCAAGGUUCGUCGAUUAUCUCUCCUGCACAAGAGCAAUAGAGAAGAUAUCUUACAACCAAACUUGAAUUUUUCUCAUGUUCGGUCCCUUAGUGUUUUUCGCUGUUCAAUGGAAAUCCCUUCUCUGGUGAAGUCCAGAUUUUUGCGUGUUCUGGACUUGGAAGACUGUCGUCUGCUAGAAGGCCAUCAUCUUAACAGUAUUUGGAACUUAUUUGAACUGAAGUACCUUAGCCUCAGAGACACAACUAUAUGUGAGCUCCCAUAUCAAAUCGGUGGACUGCAGAAACUAGAAACACUGAACCUUGAAUUUACCUUGAUAACUGCAUUACCGUCAACAAUUGUUCGACUUCAGCGUUUGGUGCAUCUGCUGAUAGAUAGAGGUGUCAGGCUAUGGGAUGGAACUGGUAACAUGCAAGGAUUGGAAGAACUGAAAGUCAUUAGUUUACUUGAGCAGUCAACCAGCUUUUCUGUGGAAAUUGGUCUGCUCACAAAUAUGAGAGAUCUGAGCAUAUUUUGGGACAUUCCAAGGAGCAAAUCGAGCAGUUAUCUCAAAAAGAGAAAAAGGGAUCAGAGUUUAUUGGAAAAUUCUAAUGUGUACAUAAAUAAUGUGGUGGAUUCUAUUUGUAAGCUAGUCAAUCUUCAUUCUCUUUCUCUUGAUAUGAACUAUGGAUGCAAAGAUGUCUUGCAGGAAUCAUGGCACCCUGCUCCACAGUGCAUUCGUAAACUUGCCAUCAUGGGGGCUAUCAUAAGAAUGUUCCGAAUUGGGUUGGUUCACUUGUUAACCUCCAACAGUUAGACCUCAAGGUGAAGGAAGUUAGGCAGGAAGACAUCAGGACCUUAGGAAGCUUACCUGGUCUGCUCCAUCUCGGUCUCUGUGUUGGAAUGGAAAGGAACAACAGAUCCUACAAUGUUCAUCUCACAAUCAGCAGAAAUCAUGGAUUCACAUGCUUGAGGCAUUUGCAUAUCGGUGGCAAGAGUUGUGGGUUAGCGUUGAUGCUUGAAACUGGAUCCUUACCAAAGCUAGAAAGUCUCGAGCUGGAAUUCGAUGCAAUUGAAACCGGUCGUCUGACAAACUUAGAUCUUGCUUUCGGCAUUCAGCACCUCCCCUGUCUCAACAGUAUUCAUUGUGAUAUUAAUAGUUUGGGAGAGAUAUUGCCUUCAUCGAAGGCCGUGAUGGCUGCCAUUGAGAGAGUAGUCAGCACCCAUCCAAACCAUCCCAGGCAUGAAAUCAGAAUUCUUGGCUAGAAACCGGAUCUGAGACGAUAGGUAACAGUUCUUGCCUUUCUCUCUGUGAUCAAAAGGCAGUGUGGCCAUAUCACCCAGACUUGAGGUACAAAUUCUCACUCACAAACAAUACAAUGUAUCCAUGUUAAUUUUCUGUUACUCUGUAUAAACACAAUGUUAUGUAUCCUAUGGGCGCAUCAUGGAAUAUUCUUAUGUUGUUUUUUCCUCUCUUCUGCAGGAGGCUCCAAGCAUUCCAUUAUCAGUUGUGGGUGGUCAAGAAUUUAUCGGUUCCAUGUUGGAUCGACCUUUCUGGCUCUGAUUUUAGUAAUGAUUUGUGACUCUUCUCUCAAGUAAUUACUUUUUUUUGUCAAGUAUUUCAAGUUAAAUUCAGAAACCAGAAUAUUUACAAAUGCAUUUUGGAUAGCCAGAUCUUUAACAUUUCAAAAAGUCACAAAAUAUAAGCCAAUGAUAUGUUCGUAAGAUCUCCAGGCUUUGGUCCUUGCAGUUGCAGGUAGGCGGUAGCAAAGCUUGCAGGAGUUUUUUUUUAAUCUUACCGGUCCUUUGAUCAAUUGUAAAUUUGUCCAUAUAAAUAUUACAAGUAUAGCAAGUUACUGGCUUUUUUGACAGCUAUCCUCUGCACUUAUUCAUGUAGAACUUCAGAGAUUUCUUCCAUUUACAAAAAGUGUCUGAACCUUAAGAUCAAUUUUACCUUUUUCCUCUUCAAACAAAGCAGGUGUGCAGAAUCAAUGAUUUUGCUCUUGGAGUUCUCGCGGCAGUGUAAACUGUAAAGCAUUAGUUUUCACGGUCCACGAGAGUUUGUGGCCUGGCAGUUUAGGAAUUUGAAGCUUCUUGAGUUGAGACUAGUUUUCUGGUUCACCCGCUUGUUCGCUUAAGCAAAUUAGACAUUUCUGCAAAGAGGCUGUGACAGAUAGUACAUAGAGCAUAUGAUGGGCCAAUUGAAACUGGGAAGGACUCUGAAUUGAUGCAGGAACUGAGCAGUGCUGUAGUUAGAGUCUCUUGCUAGCAGAUCCCUCGGUGGACGUUCUGAUGAAUUCCACUGGGAAGAUGGCUUUCCAUUGAAUCUCCAUAUCUACCAAAUGUUAGUAGAAGCUUGCUUUGAGAGUGAUGGUACUGUGGUUGAUGAGAUUGAUGAAGUGAUGGAGUUUUUGAAGAAGACUUGGGUUAUUCUUGGGAUCAAUCAGAUGCUUCACAACUUCUACUUUACGUGGGCAUUACUCAACCAUUUUGCCAUGUCGGACCAAGUAGAUAUCGUUACUUUCUGCAGCAGAGAAUCAGUUACCUGGGUAAAAGAUGCAAAAACCACCGAAGCUCCAGAUUACUGUGAUAUACUUAGCUCCACUUUAAGUUCGAUGAUGGAAAGGUACAGACAAUCCACUUAUACUUUUCCCGCAAAAAAAAAUCCACUUAUACUUAGCUUACCAUGAAACUUCCAAUACUAGCAAUAUUGAUUCCAUGCAUGGCGUUGUAUUGGUAGGAGUCUCAACUGCGAAGAUUCUGGGGGAAAGAUACACCAAAAGAAUACCGCCAGAGAAGGAAAGAAGAGACUGAUGUAGUACGCGGCAGGAUAGAAGCCUGCAUACGGUCUGUACUGCUUUUUCUCAAGUAAGUUCAAAUUGUGAACUUGUGCUUGGUUGUUUUUACUCAUUAAGGAAGAAUAAUGCAAGGAUUUUGUUCUUUUUAGUAAAAUGCACCAUUGGUGCUCUAACUUACUUGACACGCAUGUUCACUUUAGUCUAUUAACAUGAAAAUGGUUAAUUCGGUCCAAACUUGACAAUGGGAUCAGUUUAGUCCAAAAGCUUACAGAACACACACUUUUUGCCAUGUUAGCAUGUUGACUAAAACUGGGACACACGAGCCGCGUUCCAGGUACGGUUUCCUCUUUUGCAAAAUGAACACCCAAAAGCGAUACCCAGAAAUCUGCUAGAGUUUUAACCGUGGUAAAUUGAGAUAAUACCGGUAGAACCAAAGUGGAAAACUGAACUGAUAUUCUUAUUGGUGGCCUGAACUUGGGUAAGUAAAGUAAUGCCAUGCGAUCCCUAGUACCCCGAGCGUAUCCCCAUGACAUAAAAAAAAUCACUUCUGAAAACUGUAUUGCUAUGAGGCACGGAUAUUUUAUCCCUCGACAGACGCCAUUGGCGCUGUGUCACCUGAAGGUGGCACCUCCAUUCACCAUUGACGGCCUCAAGUAUGGCCUGUCAAUGUUGAUGUGAUUAGCACUGACGGGUCAUACUUAAGCCCGGUGACCUCCGUGUCAAUCGGAUAUGGGAUAAUCACUCAGCAAUAAUGGGUCUUUAUGCGACCUGUCAGUGGUGACUUGCCAAGAAUGACAUUUUGUGAGUCACCACUAACGGUGUUUCUCAACACCACUUUACAGGUCCUUCUGGGUCCAUCAGUGGAGCGCUAUUCUGUAGUAGUGUUAAUACACAAAACCAAAGUUCAAAAGACGAAUUGACCGAUCAGUUUAUGCAUAGCCGUAAUCGAAUUAUGCAAAGUAAGAUCUAUGAAUUUAUCUAUUUUGUUAAGGUUAUGAUGAUCACUUUCUGAAGAUUUAUAAUUGGCGAUAUUUUAAAUAGCAGAAUAGCACGUAUGUACAUAUCUAGGUAAGUACACAAUAACACAAAUAUAAAGAAGACUACAUAUGUGUCCCGGGCAAUUACGUUGGAGACCAGGCUAUAUAUAUCUAAAUAACAAAUGUACAUCUCCUCCUAUUUAUUUUUUGAUAUGAAUGUUCCAUGAAAACCAUAAGGCACUCUUUGCGGCAAGGUUAUUUUGGCAAUUGCUUCACUCUCAAAUCUUCGAGUAUUAAUGAUAUGUGCCUGCAAAAUAGUAAAUUUGAAGAUAUAUGAUGCCAUGACUGGAGUAUUUCAAAGUCUUAAUAAAAUCAACCAUUUUCCCUCUUGUUUCAUCAAUCUUAAAAAAUUGUUAGCACUAACUGUUCAAACAGGAAAAUGGUAUUACACUCCUAGGUGUAUCUACUCAAACAGUCAAACCUUGUAUACCCCUUGGAUACAUGUAUAAUACUUCCUUAUAAUUUUCAAUAUACUCAAUUGCUAAUUCCAAUAUACUACAAAAUGAAUAGCGUAAAAACAAUGCACUACCAUAUACCCUUUGUUGCAGCAUACCAGCAAAUCCUGGUGUUAAUGCACGAAUGCAAUAUAUGUACGAAUUUAUUGGGAACUGCUGGUACCAAUGUAUGAAAUGCAAUGCAAGAAACAUGGUUGUGGUUAUGAAAACUUGCUUGUGAUAUAUUUGUGUCCUCGUCGUGCACGAAUGAGAUUAUCCACCCAUGGUCUUCAUGUCCUCCAUUGACGUUUGGGACAAAAGUUGCUCCUGAGCAGAAUUGAUUUGCAUUAAGGUGGUGGUAUUCCACAUUUAUGAGAUCUUCU
rnacentral:lncRNA from 1 species